UACGAGGGGGGCAAGCGUUGUUCGGAAUUAUUGGGCGUAAAGGGCGCGUAGGCGGUGCGGUAAGUCUGAUGUGAAAUCUCCGGGCUCAACUCGGAGUCUGCAUCAGAAACUGCCGUGCUCGAGUGUGGGAGAGGUGAGUGGAAUUCCCGGUGUAGCGGUGAAAUGCGUAGAUAUCGGGAGGAGCACCUGUGGCGAAGGCAGCUGCCUGGCCUAACACUGACGCUGAGGUGCGAAAGCGUGGGGAGCGAACGGG
rnacentral:rRNA from 1 species